UCAAGAGUACGCUUUUUGAUCCCUUCUUC
rnacentral:piRNA from 1 species